UACGUAGGGAGCAAGCGUUGUCCGGAAUCAUUGGGCGUAAAGAGCGCGUAGGUGGCCAUUUAAGUCCGCUGUGAAAGUCAAAGGCUCAACCUUUGAAAGCCGGUGGAUACUGGAUGGCUAGAGUACGGAAGAGGCGAGUGGAAUUCCUGGUGUAGCGGUGGAAUGCGCAGAUAUCAGGAGGAACACCAAUAGCGAAGGCAGCUCGCUGGGACGUUACUGACGCUGAGACGCGAAAGCGUGGGGAGCAAACAGG
rnacentral:rRNA from 1 species